rnacentral:rRNA from 1 species
GGGGAAUAUUGCACAAUGGGCGAAAGCCUGAUGCAGCAACGCCGCGUGGAGGAUGAAGGCCUUCGGGUUGUAAACUCUUGUCUUCUGGGACGAUAAUGACGGUACCAGAGGAGGAAGCCACGGCUAACUACGUGCCAGCAGCCGCGGUAAUACGUAGGUGGCAAGCGUUGUCCGGAAUUACUGGGCGUAAAGGAUGCGUAGGCGGAUACUUAAGUCAGAUGUGAAAAUCCCGGGCUUAACUUGGGAACUGCAUUUGAAACUGGGUAUCUAGAGUGCGGGAGAGGAAAGUGGAAUUCCUAGUGUAGCGGUGAAAUGCGUAGAGAUUAGGAAGAACACCAGUGGCGAAGGCGACUUUCUGGACCGUAACUGACGCUGAGGCAUGAAAGCGUGGGGAGCAAAC